CAGGGCUCGAACCUGGGACCUUCUGCGUGUAAAGCAGACGUGAUAACCACUACACUACGAGAGCCAGAUGAUACAUAUAGAUGCAUAGUUGGCAACAGAUAUACAGGGCUCGAACCUGGGACCUUCUGCGUGUAAAGCAGACGUGAUAACCACUACACUACGAGAGCUGGAUGAUUCAUGUUGAUGUAUAUUUGGCCACAGAUGUGCAGGGCUCGAACCUUGGACCUUCUACGUGUAAAGCAGACGUGAUAACCACUACACUAUGAGAGCCAGAUGAUACAUACAGAUGCAUUGUUGGCAACAGAUAUACAGGGCUCGAACCUGGGACCUUCUGCGUGUAAAGCAGACGUGAUAACCACUACACUACGAGAGCUGGAUGAUUCAUGUUGAUGUAUAUUUGGCCACAGAUGUGCAG